AAUAGAUACCCUGGUAGUCCAUGCCGUAAACGUUGGGCACUAGGUGUGGGGCUCAUUCCACGAGUUCCGUGCCGCAGCAAACGCAUUAAGUGCCCCGCCUGGGGAGUACGGCCGCAAGGCUAAAACUCAAAGGAAUUGACGGGGGCCCGCACAAGCGGCGGAGCAUGCGGAUUAAUUCGAUGCAACGCGAAGAACCUUACCAAGGCUUGACAUGCACGGGAAGCCACCAGAGAUGGUGGUCUCUUUGGACACUCGUGCACAGGUGGUGCAUGGUUGUCGUCAGCUCGUGUCGUGAGAUGUUGGGUUAAGUCCCGCAACGAGCGCAACCCUGUCCCAUGUUGCCAGCGGGUUAUGCCGGGGACUCAUGGGAGACUGCCGGGGUCAACUCGGAGGAAGUGGGAUGACGUCAAAUCAUCAUGCCCCUUAUGUCUUGGGCUUCACGCAUGCUACAAUGGCCGGUACAAAGGGCUGCGAUGCCGUAAGUGGAGCGAAUCCCAAAAAGCCGGUCUCAGUUCGGAUUGGGGUC
rnacentral:rRNA from 1 species